ACUGUGAAGUCACAAGAGGCCCUGAGCUCUGUGGGCCCCAGGUGCCCCGGGAAAACUUGGGGGAGAAUGGGCAUCCCACCCCAGCACUUUCUAGGAAGAAGGGCAGCAUUUUGAAGGGCUGGAAGUAGAGGAAGGAGGUUGCGGGUAGAAGACUCCAUACUUUCUGUGACGCCUAUUCCUUAGGUAGGAACUUAGGAACCUCAGGAAUCAAGGCUAUCUGUAAUCACAGGGCUAUUUGAAAAAGAGAAGAAAAGGUGUCUUGAAAUUCAACCAACAUGUUUCAAUUAUUUGCUCCUAAGAACAACAGAAGUUUCAACAUUCUGCCAACAGAGUAACUCCUGGAAGAUUGGCACAGAAGAAGGCACAAGGAAGUCAGUGAUAAAAAUAUUUAAGCAGCUUUGUCUGCCUUAGACCUUCCAACUAAAAGUACAGCAAGUGGAAUGGAAUGCUAAUAUGAGGAUCCAAAUUUUCAGGGAAGGAGGAGAGCCUUUAUAUAACCAAAGAUAUUUUUGGACCAUGAAUUCAGAAAUUCUCGGAGCCACCCAUCAGUGCCUGAGCUUCAGUGAGUCCAUAUCCCAUGUCACCCACGGCAAAGGAGACUCUAAGACUUCUGAAGAGUUUCUUGCUUCUUUCCUGUGGGGCAGUGACUCCACUUCCCAGCAGUAAUGGAAUAUCCUGAAUUAGCUACAUUAAUGUUAGAACCAUUUGGACCUCACCCAGGACUUCAACUACAUUAUGAGUAACUCCUGGACGAUUGGCACAGAAGAAGGCACAAGGCAAAUACCCAUCUCUGUACACCCUGUGCUACUGUGUCAUGUGCUGCUCCAGGCAACUCCAAUGGAUUGGCCACCCUGGCCAAUGUGCCCUCCAAACACCAGCACUGAGUAGAAAGAGGCUCUGAUUCAUGAAAUGUGAAUUUAUGACAGUUGCCACUCUUAAAAAAAAAAACAAACAGACAGAACUUGAGCAAUACAUGACUGAUGCAUUCUCAGCCUGCUUCCUGUGUUCCAUCUGUCUUUCUGCCAGUGCAUUCACCCUCCAGGUUCUAGUAUGUUACGUUUAUGUUCCCCUGCUUUCUACAAUCCUGUUCAAAGAGUUGCUGACUUAACCACAGAGAGGAUUCCAGAACCUGAGACACAGAAUAAACUUGAGCAAUCAUAGUCCAUCCACUUCAUUGUCUCAUCAAAAACCAAAGGUCCAGUGAAGCUCUGGAACUCAACGCUGUAAAGGAGCGAAGGAGCUUCUAUACAGAGCCUGGAUGCCUGUCUCCUUAUCCUACUUCAGUGGACUUGACUGCAAUCCGGAUUAUGCUGUUUUCUAAGCAUUUAAAAUAAAAUAAAAAGUAUAAUAGUGUGAUAAGUUCUUUCACAAAGCAAGCAAUCACAUUUAUGUUUCUACUUACAUUUGGGUUUUCCAAAUAUGUGUGUGUGUGUGUGUGUGUGUGUGUGUGUGUGUAUGUAGACUUUAAACAUGGUGCAUCCAUCAUGUUGCACUAAAUCAAAACCACCAAAUAAUGAUGUAGAACUAAUAAAUCAAAACCAUCAAAUAAUGACAUAGAAAUCCAAUUCUCCCACCUUACACCCAUUAAGAUGGCUACU
rnacentral:lncRNA from 1 species